CCAGACUCCUACGGGAGGCAGCAGUGGGGAAUAUUGCACAAUGGGGGAAACCCUGAUGCAGCGACGCCGCGUGGGUGAAGAAGUAUUUCGGUAUGUAAAGCCCUAUCGGCAGGGAAGAAAUUGGACGGUACCUGACUAAGAAGCCCCGGCUAACUACGUGCCAGCAGCCGCGGUAAUACGUAGGGGGCAAGCGUUAUCCGGAUUCACUGGGUGUAAAGGGAGCGUAGACGGCCAUGCAAGCCUGGAGUGAAAGCCCGGGGCCCAACCCCGGGACUGCCCUGGGAACUGUGCGGCUGGAGUGCGGGAGGGGCAGGCGGAAUUCCUGGUGUAGCGGUGAAAUGCGUAGAUAUCAGGAGGAACACCGGUGGCGAAGGCGGCCUGCUGGACUGCAACUGACGUUGAGGCCCGAAAGCGUGGGGAGCAAACAGGAUUAGAUCCCCCAGUA
rnacentral:rRNA from 1 species